GAGUUUGAUCAUGGCUCAGGAUGAAUGCUGGCGGCGUGCCUAACACAUGCAAGUCGAGCGGCAGCGAGGGGUGCUUGCACCCUGUCGGCGAGCGGCGAACGGCUGAGUAACGCGUAGGAAUUUGCCCCAAAGUGAGGGAUAACUGCCCGAAAGGGUAGCUAAUACCGCAUAUGGUCUUCGGAUUAAAGGAUUUAUCCGCUUUUGGGAGAAGCCUGCGUUGGAUUAGGUUUGUUGGUAGGGUAAUGGCCUACCAAGCCGACGAUCCAUAGCUGGUCUGAGAGGAUGAUCAGCCAGACUGGAACUGAGACACGGUCCAGACUCCUACGGGAGGCAGCAGUGAGGAAUCUUCCACAAUGGGCGAAAGCCUGAUGGAGCAACGCCGCGUGAAGGAUGAAGGCCUUCGGGUUGUAAACUUCUUUUAUGAGUGAAGAAUAUGACGGUAACUCAUGAAUAAGCACCGGCUAACUACGUGCCAGCAGCCGCGGUCAUACGUAGGGUGCAAGCAUUAUCCGGAGUGACUGGGCGUAAAGAGUUGCGUAGGCGGUUUAAUAAGUGAAUAGUGAAACCUGGUGGCUCAACCAUACAGACUAUUAUUCAAACUGUUAAACUCGAGAAUGGUAGAGGUAACUGGAAUUUCUUGUGUAGGAGUGAAAUCCGUAGAUAUAAGAAGGAACACCGAUGGCGUAGGCAGGUUACUGGGCCAUUUCUGACGCUAAGGCACGAAAGCGUGGGGAGCGAACCGGAUUAGAUACCCGGGUAGUCCACGCCGUAAACGAUGGAUACUAGCUGUUGGAGGUAUCGACCCCUUCAGUAGCGAAGCUAACGCGUUAAGUAUCCCGCCUGUGGAGUACGGCCGCAAGGCUAAAACAUAAAGGAAUUGACGGGGACCCGCACAAGCGGUGGAUUAUGUUCUUUAAUUCGAUGAUAACCGAAGAACCUUACCAGGGCUUGACAUCCAGGGAAGGUCUGCGAAAGCAGACUGUGCCUUUUGGAACCCUGUGACAGGUGAUGCAUGGCCGUCGUCAGCUCGUGUCGUGAGAUGUUAGGUUAAGUCCUUCAACGAGCGCAACCCUUGUGAAUAGUUGUAUUUUUCUAUUCAGACUGCCCCGGUAACGGGGAGGAAGGAGGGGAUGAUGUCAGGUCAGUAUUUUCCCUUACGUCCUGGGCUAGAAACGUAAUACGAUGGCUAGUACGAAUGCGCAGCGAAGCCGCGAGGUGAAGCGAAAUCGCAUCGAAAGCUAGUCCCGGUUCGGAUUGCGGGCUGGAAACUCGCCUGCGUGAA
rnacentral:rRNA from 1 species